rnacentral:rRNA from 1 species
AUUGAACGCUGGCGGCAGGCUUAACACAUGCAAGUCGAGCGAGCGGCGGACGGGUGAGUAAUUUCUGGGAAACUGCCUGAUGGAGGGGGAUAACUACUGGAAACGGUAGCUAAUACCGCAUACCAUCAGAUGUUCCCAGAUGGGCUUGGCUAGUAGGUGGGGUAAUGGCUCACCUAGGCGACGAUCCCUAGCUGGUCUGAGAGGAUGACCAGCCACACUGGAACGGAGACACGGUCCGGACUCCUACGGUAGGCAGCAGUGGGGAAUAUUGCACAAUGGACGCAAGCCUGAUGCAGCCAUGCCGCGUGUGUGAAGGAGGCCUUCGGGUUGUAAAGCACUUUUAGCGAGGAGGCGUUACUCGCAGAAGAAGCACCGGCGAACUACGUGCCAGCAGCCGCGGUAAUUC